rnacentral:lncRNA from 7 species
AGCCUACUCCUGCUCUCCUCAGUAUAUGCGGGCUGCUCUGAACUUGGAAGUAAGAGAGGGAGUUCUGUACCUCAGCCUCUACGCAAAUCUGCUGUUCAUCUGUCCUGCUUCUGGUUAUUCUGAAGUUAUUAAAACUGAACUUUGGGAGAUUUAAGUAGCAGAAAUAGAGACGAGUGCUGAGGAUCUUCCAGUCCACGCGGUGCCUUGCAGAAGCUGUGAGGAAUGUUGUUUUCCCUCUGCUUGUCUGAAGCCAAGGCACCAGUAUGCCACCCUGAGUCAUGGCAUGAAGACCAGAAGAGGAGCCAUUCUAACUCUUCAGUCCUGUUUCCUACAAGACAAAGCCCCAGACCAGCCCCCAGGUUACAGCCAUGGGUUCUGGCAUGCAGGCUCUCUCCCAUUGUGUGUUGAAGUGAGAACCUGUGAUGAAUCUCUGGGUAAUGGACUGUUGCUUUGACAAACUGCUCCUCUAGUGAAACACAUGCCUGUCUUGGUGACGAUAAUAGCAAAGUGCGGAUUUUGUGGAAGAAAUAGAGGCUUUGAGGGCUACAGCACCAGACUCCGAGUCUAUAAAUUGCUGGACUGGGAUGUUCGAUGCCUUUUAAUAUUUUCAAACAUCCAGUAGAGUAAUGAAAGAACUGUAGGACUAUCCUGAUGUGAGACCUCGGGAGAGUUGUAUUCGGCGAUCAUGGGAGCUCACAACUUGUUUAAGAACAUGAAGUCCUAUCCAAGUAAUAGCUGGAAAUAAGUUGCUUGAUUUUUCUGUCCCCAAAGACAAAUUCUUGUAAUAGCAAAAGUGUAAAAUCCAACAAAGAGAGGCUUGAUACUUUCAGAUGCUGCAGCCACUUCAUACUGGAAAAAAGGCAUACUGACAGUGAAACUAUUUGGGGUAAAUAAUGAGGACAGACUUCCCAGAAAUAAACUGGCAUGGAUUUGGCCAUGAGAUGUCAGAUUUGUAACUUGGGAAAUGAAAGCUUCUAUAUACUGGAGAGCAGGCCCUAACCCAGCAUGGCAAUUCAGCCUCCUGAGCCGCAGGGAUUUCUUUAUAAGCAGUGGUAUAUUAAAUGUGGAAUCGGGUAGGCCAAAGGGACAGCAGUAAAACAGACAACGUGCAGUGACCAAAAAUGAGCUCAAGCCAGACGCACUAAUUACUUAUUGGUAAUUUUGUUUUCCUAUGGAGUUGGUUAUUACCUCUUGCUCCUGGAAAGUAAAUGCUUUUUCUGUCACU